UUACGGCCAUAUCAAGCUGAAACACUGGUUCUCGCACGUUCAAAGUAGUUAAGCAAUGUCGAGCCUGGUCAGUACCUAGAUGAGUGACCGCUUGCGAAUAUCAGGUGUUAUAA